ACGGUGAGGGAUGAAAGCUGGGGGAGCAAACCGGAUUAGAUACCCGGGUAGUCCCAGCUGUAAACUAUGCAAACUCGGUGAUGCAUUGGCUUGAUGCCAAUGCAGUGCCGCAGGGAAGCCGUUAAGUUUGCCGCCUGGGAAGUACGUACGCAAGUAUGAAACUUAAAGGAAUUGGCGGGGGAGCACCACAAGGGGUGAAGCCUGCGGUUCAAUUGGAGUCAACGCCU
rnacentral:rRNA from 1 species